UAUUAAUAGGAGGAGGAGUCAAUGCAAAACUCAGAUGUCUUCCACCUCUACUUAUCUGACUGCAGAGAGGAUGACAGAGAACAGUGGACACACAGUUUAACAUGAUGGACUAUAGGACAGGACUGCUGCUUUUAACUCUCUGCUGGGCAGGUGUUGAUGGUCAGACUCUGACAGAAUCUGAACCAGUGGUUAAAAGGCCUGGAGAAUCCCACACACUGACCUGUACAGCCUCUGGAUUCACACUCAGCAGCUACCAUAUGGCUUGGGUCAGACAGGCUCCUGGAAAAGGACUGGAGUGGGUUGCCUGGCUUGAUAGCAGUGGCAGCAGCAAACACUACUCUCAGUCAGUCCAAGGCCGGUUUACCAUCUCCAGAGACAACAGCAGACAGCAGGUGUAUCUGCAGAUGAACAGUCUGAAGACUGAAGAUUCUGCUGUUUAUUAUUGUGCUCGAGAGCCACAGUGACUGGAAUUGGUUGAACAGCUGUACAAAAUCCUACAAUACGCAUCUUUCAUUAAGCAUUUUUAUAUCAUGUGUAUUGUAUAUCAAAUAUCAAAUUUGAUAUCGUUAUAUCAACAAUAUACAUAUAUUUCUAUUAUAAAUUAACCACUGUCUUUGUGCUGUACAAAUUCCUGAAUGCCAUUCUUGAGAAAUCUUACUAAACAAAACAAAACAAAGUUCACUGUUCAUAAAGGGGUCAAGGACAGCACAACGAUCUGAUUCCUGAGAAUAAAUGAUGC